rnacentral:rRNA from 1 species
UACGUAGGGCGCAAGCGUUGUCCGGAAUUAUUGGGCGUAAAGAGCUCGUAGGCGGCCUGUUGCGUCCGCUGUGAAAUCCCGGGGCUCAACCCCGGGCGUGCAGUGGAUACGGGCUGGCUGGAGGCAGGCAGGGGAGAACGGAAUUCCUGGUGUAGCGGUGAAAUGCGCAGAUAUCAGGAGGAACACCGGUGGCGAAAGCGGUUCUCUGGGCCUGUACUGACGCUGAGGAGCGAAAGCGUGGGGAGCGAACAGG